rnacentral:rRNA from 1 species
GAUGAACGCUGGCGGCGUGCCUAAUACAUGCAAGUCGAGCGAACAGACGAGGAGCUUGCUCCUCUGACGUUAGCGGCGGACGGGUGAGUAACACGUGGAUAACCUACCUAUAAGACUGGGAUAACUUCGGGAAACCGGAGCUAAUACCGGAUAAUAUAUUGAACCGCAUGGUUCAAUAGUGAAAGACGGUUUUGCUGUCACUUAUAGAUGGAUCCGCGCCGCAUUAGCUAGUUGGUAAGGUAACGGCUUACCAAGGCAACGAUGCGUAGCCGACCUGAGAGGGUGAUCGGCCACACUGGAACUGAUACACGGUCCAGACUCCUACGGGAGGCAGCAGUAGGGAAUCUUCCGCAAUGGGCGAAAGCUUGACGGAGCAACGCCGCGUGAGUGAUGAAGGUCUUCGGAUCGUAAAACUCUGUUAUUAGGGAAGAAAAAAUGUGUAAGUAACUAUGCACGUCUUGACGGUACCUAAUCAGAAAGCCACGGCUAACUACGUG